AAAGGCUGGAAGCAAUUGGCUAGAAAAGGCGUUCCUUUUAGAGGACAAUAAAGAACUGUAAUAGAUGGAAAGAAGAAUCGUGGAGACUAAUUGAUUGAACGAGAUAUGGAUCGAUAGGAGUAAUAAUCAUUGUAUUAAAUAUGUAAAUGCAAAGAAUAGUGAAUUAUGGAGUAGAGUUUCGCAAUUGUAUUUCAAAUGAGUUGUAAAUGAAUAAAUAAAGUAUAAACAUUUAUUAUUUGGAUA